AUGAUUUUAUUAAACUCUAUAUAAAGGGGGUCACACGAUGUAAUCAAAACGGCCUUUGAUUAUGAAAUGAAUUAAUAUUCUCCCCCUCAUUUAUCUCUAUCCUCUCCCAUUUCUUCUCUCUUCUUCCCCUCAUUUCUCUUCUUUUUCUUACUUUUCCCCUUCUCCUACAAUUAUCAUAUUACAUCCGACGUUAAUUUGAUAUCAGAGCGAUUCUUUUUCCUUUGACCUACACAUUAAAUUCAAAAUUCACCAACUAUUUCCAUCCAAUCCAAAUACAUUGUACCCUUUCGACAUCCAUCCAAAACCUUAUAAUUAUCUUUCACCUAAACACUGAACAGAAAAAUGGGGCAUCAGUAGGUUUUUGUCAAUAUUUGUUUUUAAUUUAAAAAAAAAAAAACAACUACGCAGCUAUAGUCGCUGUUUUCAAUUUUGAAAAAGAAAAAAGAAGAAAGAGAAGUGCCAAAAAAAAAGUGUCGACUGGCGUAUAAUACUUGUAUUCAAUUCCUAUUGCUGUUCUUUGCUAUUGUUCCCAAACAUAUAUAAACCAUCCAAAAACCUAAGCCACUUCUGCCUAAAAGCUCAUUCUGC
rnacentral:lncRNA from 1 species